CUAGCAGUAAACGGUGCAUAUUUGGUGUGGGCGCAAUCGACCGCGUCCGCGCCGGAGCUAACGCGUUAAAUAUGCCGCCUGGGAAGUACGGUCGCAAGAUUAAAACUCAAAGAAAUUGACGGGGACCCGCACAAGCGGUGGAGUAUGUGGCUUAAUUCGAUGCAACGCGAAGAACCUUACCUGGUCUUGACAUGCAUUGUGUCUCCGGUGAAAGCCGGAUAGGGUAGCAAUACCCGCUUUGCACAGGUGC
rnacentral:rRNA from 1 species